AGGGUCGAUCUUUUUCUUUAAACUUAAUUUUUUCUUAAAAUAUACAUCCAAAAAAUAUAAAAUUACCUCCAAUAGAUCAUAAAUCUUCUAUUCUUGCUCUUGAGGCUUUCGAAUCAGAACUUGAUAAAAUUAUAAUUUUGCCUCUAAAAUACAAUAAAUCUUUUUCCAAGUCAAAAUCAUUAGUAACCCCCUCAAAUAUUUUGUAAUCAUCAAAAUCAAUUCAUAGAGCAACAAUACUGCUGUUAGAAAAUCAGAUAAACUAGCAUGCAUAGAUUUUAAAAUAUUUUUAAACAGCAGUAGAAAUAAAUCUAGGUUAAACCUUUUAACCCCACAUGCAGUAGAUCUAAUCUACAUCUAUCCGAAUCCUGGAUCUAAGAUAUGUAUAUAAUUUAAAAAUUAAAAAUUAAAAUUGAGAUCAGAUCUCAAUACCUUGUGCAGGUUGAAAUACACCACAACCGAUGAUCUUGGAUCUGAAGGUUCUUAAGCCACACACAUGUCCGACCUCUACAGAUAUCCAUCGGGAUUAACCUUGAAUCUUUCUUCUCAUUGUAGAUCCUUCUUCUCCAAGUAAGAUCUCAGUCUUUUGAAUCUUUGAUCAACCUUUGAUCUUUGACUGCGAAUUCAACACUUGAACAGCAGCUUUUCUCCUCAUUUUUGAUGUAGAAGCAAUCACCUUCUUCAACUUGGGCGUGUGAGAAGAUGGGAUGCCCAACUCUUAGGCAUUGGAAAGAGAGGAAGAAGAAGAGAUGGCAUGGAGAAGGAGAGAGAGGUUUGAAAUCUCAAAAAUUUAAUUCUUUUUAAAAAAAAAAUCUAAGAGACUAUCUCCUUAAAUAGGUUUUUUUUUAAUUUCAAAUUGUUAUCCAAUCAGGCUAAAAAAGUUAAUCCUUAUCUUAUAAGAUCACUUGCCUUUUAAUUUGACUUUAUUUUCAAAAAAAUUAGAUCCAAUUGGAAAGGCCCUUGCUUUAAAUGUCAAGUGGAUGUGGCACCCUCAUCUUAUAAGACAAGAUGAGGGCUGCUACUUGAUUUAUAGGCAGGUACUUGAGGUGCCAACUCUUGAUGUCUCCUUAAGAUUUUAAGUGCUCAGGAGAGAAGGCAUGGCCCCUCUCACUCUCCUUUUAUGCCUAAACAAAAGAGGAGUGGGCCCCUCUUUCUUUCAUUCGUCUACUCCAAGGUAUGCACCUUUGAUCUUUCCAAAAAGAGAGGUAUGUGCUUCCUCUUUCUUUCCAAUUAAUCCUUGCCACAAAAGAAAAAUCAAGAGAAAAGAAAAAAAAUUUAUUUGCCAACUAAUUGGCUUGAUCCAAUCCUUUUGGGCCCACAAAUAGGUGCCCAGCUAACCCCAAAUUAAAAUAAAUUUAGAUUAGGUUCAAGGCUAUGGACUUGAUCCAAUUCUUAUCUAAUAAGGAAUCGAAGUCCAAAGAAGAAUUGAGUUUAACCAUAUGCUAGCAUGGUUCUCUUAACCCCAAUAAGAUUUUACUAAAUUCUAGCCUAAUUAGAACUUCAUAAGUUCAAUUGGUUAAUUCAAGAUUAAUCCCUUAAUGUGUGACCCCACAAGUUUCAUUCUAUCUGGUAUUGAGAUAUAUUAUGAUCUCCAUCAUAAUAUCAUCGAAACUCUUUUUGAUAAGUUGGAACAACUCCAGCUCUAUCCUUCGAGGAUCAUCAAUCAUUAAGAUGACACUCGAUGAGUCCCACAAUCCACUAGUGACAUUUAGCAGUAUGUAGUGGCAACCUAGUAGAAUGAAAGUGUGAACUCCUAGGUGUAGUUAUCAUAUGAUUCAGUCUUUCUAUCAUAUGUCCUGACUUGACGGAGGUCAUGGAGAACUCGUCAAACCCCAUCAUC
rnacentral:lncRNA from 1 species